rnacentral:rRNA from 1 species
AUAUGUACAUUCAAAUUAACUAAUUCAAAAUUAAAAUUUACUUAAAAAUUACUAAUAAAUCCUAGACCAAAUAUUUAAUAACAAAAAUAAAUCAAAAGUGGCUAAUUAUAUCUUUACUAUAAACUGCACCUUGACUUGAAUUCAAUAAAAUAUUAAAAAGAUAAAAAAGCAAAAGAUUAUCAAAACAGAGGUAUACAAAUUAAAAAAUAAAGAAAAUUUAAACGCGGUCUAUCGAUUAUAAAACAAGCCCCUCUAAAAAGAAUCUGAACCGCCAAAAAUCUUAGGUUUAAAGAUUAUCUAAUAAUACCUAUAAAAAAUUAUAAAAGGGUAUCUAAUCCUUGUUUAAAAAAAAAUUCAAAAGAAAAACAAAAAGAAAAAACAUAAAAAGAAUUUCACCUCAAUUUAUAUUUAAAAACAUAAUAAAACUUUUCUAAAUAUAUAAUUUAAAAAGAAAAUCGUAUA